CUGGUUGAUCCUGCCAGUAGUGAUAUGCUUGUCUCAAAGAUUAAGCCAUGCAUGUCUGAGUACAGACCGAUCUAAGGUGAAACCGCGAAUGGCUCAUUAAAUCAGUCAUAAUUCCUUGGAUAGUGAAAAACUUCCUCGGAUAACUGUGGAAAAUCCAGAGCUAAUACGUGCAACAGAGCUCCGACCUCGGCGUGAGCCUUGGGAAGAGCGCAUUUAUUAGAUUCAAAACUGACCGGCGUACUCCUUCGGGAUGCGCCGUUUGUCGAAAGUUUGAUGACUCCGGAUAACUUAGCCGAGCGCUACGGUCCUAGUACCGGCGCCGUAUCUUUCAAGUGUCUGCCUUAUCAGCUUUCGAUUGUAGGUUAAACGCCUACAAUGGCUGUAACGGGUAACGGGGAAUCAGGGUUCGAUUCCGGAGAGGGAGCCUGAGAAACGGCUACCACAUCUAAGGAAGGCAGCAGGCACGCAAAUUACCCACUCCCAGCCCGGGGAGGUAGUGACGAAAAAUAACGAUGCGAGACUCUUCCGAGGCCUCGCAAUCGGAAUGAGUCCAUUUUAAAUCCUUGGACGAGGAUCCAUUGGAGGGCAAGUCUGGUGCCAGCAGCCGCGGUAAUUCCAGCUCCAAUAGCGUAUAUUAAAGUUGCUGCGGUUAAAAAGCUCGUAGUUGGACUUCCUAGAUCCAUUUCGCGAGCGAGUCGCUCGUUGAGCUAGCUCCUUGCGUAAGUUACUCGAUGACGUCGUGACGGGCGUUAGCGGUUAGCUUCUCUCUUUCCGGAGGUUGCGAACCCGCUGCGUGUGUUUGCGCUCGGAAUCUUGCGGACGGCGAGGAGUUGUCUUCGAGUAUUGCUUGUUCGCGUUUGGUACAAAUAAAAUUUGGUCGGCUCGCUCGGAGUGCUCUUUACCGAGUGUUCCAGGGUGGCCGACACGUUCACUUUGAAAAAAUUAGAGUGCUUAAAGCGGGCUCGUACCACGCCUAAAUGUCUGUGCAUGGAAUGAAGUAACAGGACCUCGAUUCUGUUGUUUUUGUCGGUUUUAUUGAACCGAGGUAAUGAUUAAAAGGGACAGACGGUGGCAUUAGUAUUGCGGCGCUAGAGGUGAAAUUCUUGGACCGCUGCAAGACUAACUACUGCGAAAGCAUUUGCCGAGAAUGUUUUCAUUAAUCAAGAACGAAAGUUAGAGGAUCGAAGGCGAUCAGAUACCGCCCUAGUUCUAACCCUAAACUAUGCUAACUAGCGAUCCGCCGGAGUCAUUCCCACGACCCGGCGGGAAGCCCCAGGGAAACCAAAGUCUUUGAGUUCCGGGGGAAGUAUGGUUGCAAAGCUGAAACUUAAAGGAAUUGACGGAAGGGCACCACCAGGAGUGGAGCCUGCGGCUUAAUUUGACUCAACACGGGAAACCUCACCAGGCCCGGACAUCAAUUGGAUUGACAGGUUGAGGGCUCUUUCUCGAUUUGAUGGGUGGUGGUGCAUGGCCGUUCUUAGUUGGUGGAGUGAUCUGUCUGGUUGAUUCCGAUAACGAACGAGACUCUACCCUACUAACUAGUCGGCGGAUCGUAACCCUGAGAUGGUUAGUUGGCAUAGGUCGGUUUGUCCGAGGCAAGUACGUUUCGUUCGUGUUCGCGGUGCGUAUCCGAAGAGGGGGCUAUUUUCUGUGCGCUUUACGGUGCAUGGGGGUGGUUCUUUCGAAGAUCGCUCGCGCGCGGCGGGAUCGACUUUGUCGAGGCUUCCGUCUGAUUGCUGCUACUGCUGGGGGCGUCCGUCGCAAUGUAUCUUCUUAGAGGGAUCAGCGGCGUAUAGCCGCACGAGAAAGAGCAAUAACAGGUCUGUGAUGCCCUUAGAUGUUCUGGGCCGCACGCGCGCUACAAUGUAGAGACCAGCGUGCUUGUCCCCCUCCGAAAGGAACGGGUAACCCGUUGAAACCCCUACCCAACAGGGAUUGGGGAUUGCAAAUAUUUCCCAUAAACGAGGAAUUCCCAGUAAGCGCGAUUCAUAAAAUAGCGCUGAUUACGUCCCUGCCCUUUGUACACACCGCCCGUCGCUACUACCGAUUGAAUGAUUCAGUGAGGGCAUCGGACUGGCGGCUUCGGUUUAGUAACAUAGACCUUAGGCUGACGGAAAGAUGUCCGAACUUGAUCAUUUAGAGGAAGUAAAAGUCGUAACAAGGUUUCCGUAGGUGAACCUG
rnacentral:rRNA from 1 species